AUAUUUAAAAAUCAAAGAUAUUUUGGCUAAAAUUGUACUUACCUGGCUAAGGAGAUCGACCAUCUUUUUACGGAUCGAUCGAUUGUUGAGCAUGUGGUCGAUCCGAAAAUAUUCUGCAGUUUGAUUAAAUAUCUAAAACAUUUAUUCCAACACUCAACAGAUAGUUUUGCUAAAUAUGAUAACUAGAUAGCCAACAAAAUUCUAAAAAAUAUUUAAAUAGUAAAAAAU
rnacentral:lncRNA from 1 species